ACUAAAAUGGCAUUUUGAGAAGCUUGAUAAAUAUGGACGCAGGUGUCUAACUUGAUAUUAACUUUAGUUUUUACCUUUCCUAACAGUAUGUCUGCAAAUGCUGGUUCCAUGUCACAUUGCUUAUUCGAGACUAGAUCUACAAAUAACACUGCAGAUUUUGUUACCAUCAACUUGCAUUAUACAACUGACAGACUGAAACGGUUGGACUCAAAAAUCUACAUUUGUGUUCCACUGGAGAAACAAAGUCACCUACAUCUUGGAUGGCCUGGGGACUACCUGACCUGUUCCUGUUAAGAGCUAGUCACUCUUUGUGGAAUGUUCCUGGCCCAUUUUUCCCAAGUUUUUACAAAAGUUUUUUCAAUGACCUCAAAAUUGAUGUGUAAAAAUUAUAAUAAACUUGAAUUUGUUUAAAUAUG